GGGUGGGGGCCCUCGUCUUACCCAGCAGUGUUUGGGUGCUGGUUGGGAGUCUCUAAUACUGCCGGGUAAUGAUGGAGGCCCCUGUC
ensembl:miRNA MIR200C microRNA mir-200c